GACGAACCGUGCGAACGUUGUUCGGAAUCACUGGGCUUAAAGGGCGCGUAGGCGGGUGGCCAAGUCGGUGGUGAAAUCCUCCAGCUUAACUGGAGAACUGCCUUCGAUACUGGUCGUCUGGAGGGGGGUAGGGGCAGACGGAACUUCCGGUGGAGCGGUGAAAUGCGUAGAUAUCGGAAGGAACGCCGGCGGCGAAAGCGGUCUGCUGGACCUCCACUGACGCUGAGGCGCGAAAGCCAGGGGAGCAAACGGG
rnacentral:rRNA from 1 species